UAAACGGCUACCGGAGUUCCAAGUCAUAUUGGAAAUUCACCAGUUACGAUGUGCUACCCAUACUAAUUUUAAUUUUUAACAAGCAGAAACGUCUGCGAACGAUGCUAUUAAGCUUAGAAUAAAUUUAAAAGUGGAAAAAUUACUGCCGUGAGUUCAAGUCUCACCCAAGACAGUAAUUUUUCCACUUUUAAAUUUAUUCUAAGCUUAAUAGCAUCGUUCGCAGACGUUUCUGCUUGUUAAAAAUUAAAAUUAGUAUGGGUAGCACAUCGUAACUGGUGAAUUUCCAAUAUGACUUGGAACUCCGGUAGCCGUUUAAGAAGUGUAACACUCUUGCGGUAGAUGUCGCUAUGGUCCCCUUGACCUAUAAUAUGGUGGAAAGGUUUGCUGGCUAUGGAUGAGGUCUUGGUGGCUCAGAUGGCAGAGCGCUGGAGUAUCAAUCCAGAGGCCGUGAGUUCAAGUCUCACCCAAGACAGUAAUUUUUCCACUUUUAAAUUUAUUCUAAGCUUAAUAGCAUCGUUCGCAGACGUUUCUGCUUGUUAAAAAUUAAAAUUAGUAUGGGUAGCACAUCGUAACUGGUGAAUUUCCAAUAUGACUUGGAACUCCGGUAGCCGUUUAAGAAGUGUAACACUCUUGCGGUAGAUGUCGCUAUGGUCCCCUUGACCUAUAAUAUGGUGGAAAGGUUUGCUGGCUAUGGAUGAGGUCUUGGUGGCUCAGAUGGCAGAGCGCUGGAGUAUCAAUCCAGAGGCCGUGAGUUCAAGUCUCACCCAAGACAGUAAUUUUUCCACUUUUAAAUUUAUUCUAAGCUUAAUAGCAUCGUUCGCAGACGUUUCUGCUUGUUAAAAAUUAAAAUUA